GGGGCUGUUUGGUUUUGACAGCAGGUAGAAUGGAUAUGUAAGCAUGCAGAGCGCGCGGCGGCAGCUCUUUAAUCUCGCUUCCGGACAUUUUAAUUGGCGAAACUUCUUACGCUCUCGCUGCCUGAUUGAAGUAUAGUAGAUCGGCCUAUUUCGGCACAAGGUGCUGAAACGAGACAUCGCCCCGUUGCCCUCUCUUCGAGGCGUUCGGACCCGGCGGUGCAAGAAUAUCGGAGAUAGUCGGUGCCGGCUGUGCGGCACAGGCGAAAUUCAAGCAGAUAAGCCUGCGGUUGGUGGCUCGGGUCUUGCCGCAGGACGAAAACGAAGGCCGGGAUAAGCAUGUAGAAAGCGUAUGUGUUCCUUGUUUGGACGAGGGUUCGACUCCCUCCAGCUCCACUC
rnacentral:tmRNA from 1 species